rnacentral:rRNA from 1 species
UACAGAGGUCCCGAGCGUUGUUCGGAUUCAUUGGGCGUAAAGGGUGCGUAGGCGGCGGGGCAAGUCUGAUGUGAAAUCCCGGGGCUCAACCCCGGAACUGCAUUGGAUACUGCCUUGCUAGAGCACUGGAGAGGGAACUGGAAUUUACGGUGUAGCAGUGAAAUGCGUAGAGAUCGUAAGGAAGGCCAGUGGCGAAGGCGAGUUCCUGGACAGUUACUGACGCUGAGGCACGAAGGCCAGGGGAGCAAACGGG